rnacentral:lncRNA from 1 species
UUUUUUUUUUUUUUUUAAAUCUUUGUCUGUGCUCUUCUUUAGUGUUUCAGUUAAAAAAAAAUUUUUGGUCAAUUCAUGGGUUCUCACUACUAGAUUUGUUCGCAGAGGUUCUUUGUUUAAUCUUAACUAUUUCUAAGACGACUAGACUUCUUUUGUCUAUAUGUAGAAAAUGUGGAAAACAAGAAAAUUAGAUAGAUACAAACAAUUAAAAUGUAAGUUUAAACACGGUAAGUGAAUCCAGAAAGGAAUUCAUGAAUGCAUUUUCUUUCAGGUUGGCUUCAACUAAAGCUUGUAGAGAAAGCAAAUGAACAGAGGGCAUUGGUUGCUUCUGAAGUUAGGGAUAGUACGGAAUAAACUGGUUUUGUUAGUCCUGCAAACUGAGAAGCUCGAAGGACACGAACAAAUAGAAUGCAACAAGGAACAGAACAGACAUUCUUGCUGUGGUAGUAUCCGAAAACAGAAUAUAACAUUGGGUCUGGUUACCCGGGAGCAUGCCUGUGUAUUAAUAAUAUUUAUCAUUUUUGUUGGUCAUUUUCUUUUGUUCCUCUUCUGUCUUUUGUUCAUUUAUAACCGAUUUUAAUAAGGGAAAAUAUUAUGUUGUUAUGUACAUUUAUCUGAAUACUUUGACUCCAAAAUUUGAGGCUCGAAAUUUUGAUUUAAACAGAGCAUUACCAAUCCUAAUUUGUCAAUUUUAUGAUGGGUUUAGAUCUGUUUCUAUUAUGUCAAAAAGAAUGAUGUUAUUUGGAAUGAUUCAAUAAGUAAUUUUGUGAAUUACAAUGGAAUUUCAGGGUAUGUUAUUUCUGCAAACUUAUGUGUCGCUCGUUGGUUCGUACGAAUUGGCUCGUCAUCUAGGAGUAAAAUUUGUACUUUAAGUUAGAAACAAGAGCCUCGAGUGGCUCGCUAGUUGGCUCGCCCCACUUUGAAAACAAGGUAGCUAACAUUCGGUUCAACCUAACCUAUAGGCUAGUACAAGCUAACUCGCAUGGUAAGGUGAGUCAAGAGGUUCAUAUUCUGUCAAUUGAACAUCUUGGAUGGACGUAUCCCAUAAUUGAGAUAAAAAUGAUAGUGCAAUGACUAAUUAGAAAUAAAAUGAAGUUAUAUGAAAUUAAAUACAAAAUGAGCUACCUUCUUAAGAAUAUAUACAAUUUUCAACGAAACAAAUUUUCUUGCUCUCUAAAGGUACGCCACUUUUCAAUAUAGGCUGCUUGAUCAGGAUGAAGGCUUGGUGUUCUAUGCUGCUGAAGAAUUUGAAGAAUUUCUUGACUUUCACCCAGCAGGAGAGCUGCUUGCCGGACUGUUU